GAGGAGCAGCAGGCAACAGACAACCUGGCGAACUGGAGCAUGUUAGAAGCCAGAGGAAAAGAAAGCAAAAACGAUUCCCAUAGUAGGGGCGAGCGAAAUGGGAGCAGCCUAAACCGUGGAAACGGGGUUGUGGGAGAGCAAUACAAGCAUUGUGCUGCUAGGCGAAGCGGUUGAGUGCUGCACCCUAGAUGGCUAAAGUCCAGUAGCCGAAAGCAUCGCUAGCUUAGCUCUGACCCGAGUAGCAUGGGGCACGUGGAAUCAUGUGGCUAGGACGGGGGGUGUAAAUCAUGGGGUGUGUACAUCCUC
rfam:Brachypodium distachyon strain Bd21 chromosome 4, whole genome shotgun sequence.